UACAGAGGGUGCAAGCGUUGUUCGGAAUUACUGGGCGUAAAGGAUGCGUAGGUGGUUUGAUAAGUCUAUUGUUAAAUACUAGAGCUCAACUCUAGUGUGCAUUGGAUACUGUCAGACUUGAGACCGGGAGAGGUAAAUGGAAUUUCUAGUUUAGAGGUCAAAUUCUCCGAUACUAGAAGGAACACCAGAAGCGAAGGCGAUUUACUGGAACGGAUCUGACACUGAGGCAUGAAAGCGUGGGGAGCAAAUG
rnacentral:rRNA from 1 species